rfam:C.cricetus T37 small nucleolar RNA gene
ACACAUGAUGACUGAAAUUCUUCACUUUGACCUGAUGUCUGUUGAAGAAACUCUGUGUCUGAGC